rnacentral:rRNA from 1 species
UACGUAGGGUGCGAGCGUUGUCCGGAAUUAUUGGGCGUAAAGGGCUCGUAGGCGGUCUGUCACGUCGGGAGUGAAAACUCAGGGCUUAACCCUGAGCCUGCUUCCGAUACGGGCAGACUGGAGUACUGCAGGGGAGACUGGAAUUCCUGGUGUAGCGGUGGAAUGCGCAGAUAUCAGGAGGAACACCGGUGGCGAAGGCGGGUCUCUGGGCAGUAACUGACGCUGAGGAGCGAAAGCGUGGGGAGCGAACAGG